AUAUCUCUCUGUACGGGAAGGAUGAGAAGCUUCGACUAAGGUUCGAUUCGAGCGCAGCGAGAAAGCGUUGCCGCAGGCAACGACCCGAAGGGCG
rnacentral:sRNA from 6 species